UGGUGUUCGGGUUGUCAUGCCAAUGGCACUGCCCGGUAGCUAAAUGCGGAAGAGAUAAGUGCUGAAAGCAUCUAAGCACGAAACUUGCCCCGAGAUGAGUUCUCCCUGACUCCUUGAGAGUCCUGAAGGAACGUUGAAGACGACGACGUUGAUAGGCCGGGUGUGUAAGCGCAGCGAUGCGUUGAGCUAACCGGUACUAAUGAACCGUGAGGCUUAACCUUACAACGCCGAAG
rnacentral:rRNA from 1 species